rnacentral:misc_RNA from 1 species
GAUGAAGAACGCAGUGAAAUGCGAUACGUAAUGUGAAUUGCAGAAUUCAGUGAAUCAUCGAAUCUUUGAACGCACAUUGCGCCUGCCAGCACUCUGGCAGGCAUGCCUGUUCGAGCGUCAUUUCAACCAUCAAGCCCUAGGCUUGCGUUGGAGCCCUGCGGCUGCCGCAGGCCCCUAAAAGCAGUGGCGGGCUCGCUAUCACACCGAGUGCAGUAGAUUACUCUUCGCUCAGGGCGUGUGGUGGGUUCCAGCCGUGAAACCCCCUACUUCUCAAGGUUGACCUCGGAUCAGGUAGGAAUACCCGCUGAACUUAAGCAUAUCAAUAAGCGGAGGA